CGGUGCCCUAGCUUCACCCCGUGCCUUUUCCCUUCCUUUGUUUUCACCGACACCUCGCCAUUUCACCCGACUGCGCCGACGGGCUCAGCAGCGACGAUCGCCCGCGACUAAUCGCCGGCGUCGGGAUUGUGAGACCAGUCUCCGGUCUCCUCCCCGCCUGAUCGGAGAUCUCAUCGGUGGCAUCCUUCGUCGAAACGUAGCUUCGCGCAAGGGAUUCUCGGCCGGGAGAGGGGAAAUCGAUCUCCGGUGAUGCUGGAGUGAGAUCUCUUGUUCCAGAGCUCCAUGGUGGCGAGAACCAGGUAGCUGAUCCAUUUUCCCGAGCCUUAGAGCCAAGCCGAUUACGUCGGGUUUCCCUUCCGCCGCUUGUGGUGGCUCCUGGCAGUGAGUGUCACACUGGGAGGAGCACGACCAUACCCUCCAGCAACUGUUCUUCACCGGGAAGCAGUAGCUCUAUAGGAGUUUUGAUCAGUGGAGCUGCGACAGCAGGCAGCACCAGUGAGAUUGUGCCAGGGGUCUCACUUACCGGCAGUGAGUCAACAGCGGGGAGUUAGGUAAGGACUCUGAUCGCGGGUGUCGUGACGAAGUUGACGUCGGAUUUAACCUACAUUAGAGGCGGG